GGGCUUCAGAGUCAGAGCACCUCCAUACACUCCUCUCCUGAGGUGCUGACAGACCCAGUGCUGCCUGUGCACCGCUCCUGACCCCGCCAGCCGAGAUGUCCUGCCAGCAGAACCAGCAGCAGUGCCAGCCCCCUCCAAAGUGUCCCGCGCCCAAGUGCCCCCCAGAGUGCCCCCCCAAGUGCCCCCCAGUCUCUUCCUGCUGCAGCUCCAGCUCUGGGGGAGGCGGCUGCUGCAGCUCUGGGGGCGGCGGCUGCUGUAGCUCUGGGGGCAGCGGCUGCUGCCUGAGCCACCACAGGCGACGCAGUUCCCACCGUCACAGACACCAGAGCUCUGGCUGCUGCAGCCAGCCCUCGGGGGGCUCCAGCUGCUGUGGAGGGGGCAGCGGUCAGUCAUCUGGAGGCUGCUGCUGAAGUGGACCCUGAGCCAAGGAGCGCAGGCUUGGGGACAGCGAGUGGCCAAAGCCUUCCUCCUGUUCCUGCUCCCCCUGCUGGGCCUGCCCAAGGGGCUGAGUUGUCUCAGUGAAGGUUCUGAGCUCUGGGCUGGUGGGUCCCUCUGCCCUGGGAUUCAGAAGGCUGAAUCCUCUCCCCUAAUUCCAUCUGCUGACCUCUGACACCAACUGUGUUAUUUGCCCUGGGAUCCCCAAACCACAGACUCUAAUCCACUCCCCAGCUACUCUCCUUGCCGUCUGCUCCUCAAGUGAAACAAUAAAACAAGAAAUCUGCUUACCA